rnacentral:snRNA from 1 species
GUGCUUGCUUUGGCAGCACAUAUAGUAAAAAUGGGACAAUAAAGAUUAGCACAGACCCUGCACAAAGACACGCAAAUUUAUGAAGUAUUCCAUCUUUUU